AUCCGAAACUUUCCAACGUCGUCUUCACCUUAAAGGUUGGUUCUUUGAUAGGAUAGAUUAUCCAAUCCAUAUUCCAGACCCUGUAACAAAAGCAACUAGCUAUGUAACAUCAACCAAUUUACAAGAGAAGAUGUUUCAUAUCACAAAGGAAAAUGUUUUGAAACUGGAAGCUAAAGCCAACGACGAGGCUGAUCAAAAGAUCUCUUCUAUUCAAGCGGUGUUGGCAUAUAUAUGGCGUUCAAUGAUUAAACACAGUGGCAUGAGCCAAGAAGAAGAGACUCAUUGCAGGUUACCUAUAAACAUGAGGCAAAGACUCAAUCCACCACUAGAAGAAGUGUGUUUUGGGAAUGUGAGCCAAACCGGGAUAGCCACGGUCACAGUUGGGGAGCUGCUGGAACAUGGACUAGGCUGGGCUGCUAUGCAAAUCAAAAACAUGGAGCUGUCACAAACUGAUGAAAAAGCCAAAGAAUUUGCAGAGAAUUGGGUGAAAAAUAUCAAGAUUCCGGUUUCUGUUGGUAGCAAAGAUUUAGUUGUCACAAACUCUCACCGGUUCGAUGUGUAUUGCAAUGAUUUCGGUUGGGGUAAACCGAUAGCCGCAAGAGCUGGGCCACCGUAUCUCAAUGGAAGGCUCGUCGUUUUCAAAGGAAUCGAGCAAGAAAGUCUUGAUUUUCAGGCUUGUUUACUGCCUCAAGUAGUGGAAAAAUUAUUGAAGGAUGUUGAAUUUAACGAGUAUGUAUGCAUUGUAUGAUAAUGAUUUGGUUCAGCAACAUUGAAUUUAGCUAAGCAUCACACUAAUUCUCUCUUGUGGUCAAAUGAAUCGAUUCACCAAAUCAAUAAGCCUAAUGCAAUUCUUUCGUGUAUGAUUCACAACAUCUCCAUCAACCAUUCGGCUAAUAUCAACGAAUUUAGAGAUUCUUAAAAUGGAUACGUACCUGACCGGAAUCGGAAUAACUCGCCGCCGGAGUAGCAGCAAUCCGC
rnacentral:lncRNA from 1 species